rnacentral:rRNA from 1 species
AGCGAACGCUGGCGGCGUGCUUAACACAUGCAAGUCGAACGAUGAACCCGGAGCUUGCUCCGCUGGAUCAGUGGCGAACGGGUGAGUAACACGUGGGCAACCUGCCCCUCACUUCGGGAUAACUCCGGGAAACCGGGGCUAAUACCGGAUAUGACCUCCUUGGGCAUCCUUGGAGGUGGAAAGUUUUUCGGUGAGGGGUGGGCCCGCGGCCUAUCAGCUUGUUGGUGAGGUAGUGGCUCACCAAGGCGACGACGGGUAGCCGGCCUGAGAGAGCGACCGGCCACACUGGGACUGAGACACGGCCCAGACUCCUACGGGAGGCAGCAGUGGGGAAUAUUGCGCAAUGGGCGAAAGCCUGACGCAGCAACGCCGCGUGCGGGAUGUCGGCCUUCGGGUUGUAAACCGCUUUCAGCAGGGAAGAAGCCGCAAGGUGACGGUACCUGCAGAAGAAGCACCGGCUAACUACGUGCCAGCAGCCGCCGUAA